rnacentral:lncRNA from 1 species
AUACAUACCAGCAAGGUGCCAACCCCAUUUUAAUUCUUUUCCUUUUCAAUGAAAGAUAAUUGAAUAUAUCUCAUUAUAUUAAAGCUAGCUUGCUGGCUUAUCUAAAAUAAGGCAUAAAUUAAUGAUUUUGAGGUAUUAAAGUGUGUUCAAAUUAUGAGAAUAAUUAGAUCUCAUUAAAUAUCUCGAUUUGACAAAUCACAGUCCACUUCGACAGGAAUAGUCUUGAGAAAGUAGAUUAGCAGUGGAGCAUUUUUUUCCCUCUCUUUCUACUUUGACAUCUUUUCCCCAGCUUGUUCAAACUCUAAUGAAAAAGUUGUCUUGUCAGUACUUCCACAUGAUGAACCACUGUGCAAGUAAUUGAGGUUCAGUGAUUAGGUCUAGAUUUAUAUACUUAGGGAGUCUAAUAAUUUUCCUGGCCUUAUAGAGCAAGCCCAGCAGUGCUCGGCCCACAGGAUUAAUUGACAAAGCAGGAGCAGUCCUUAUUGGAGAUCAUUAAGUACCUCAGGCUUCCAUGUGAACGGGGAACCUGAAAGCUCAUUGAAUACAAAUUGCUAUCUCAGUCAAGUUGACCACUUGUCUGUUCUUGGAAGUGUGGUUGAAUAAAAGGAUAGCCCCACAGAGAGGCUUGGAAUGGUGGUGUGAUCAACAGCAUUAGAUUUUCCCAGGUUGGGCUCUCCAACAUCAAAUCGCUGCUUUAUGAAAGCUUUUAUGUGAGCUUAAAAUAUACCCAUGGGGGAGCAAGGUUGGAGGGACUCUAUAAACCCCAGCCACAAAGAUGGUCUGUCUUAGGAGAGAAGGCCCAGAGAGAUGGUUCCCUGAGCAGGGCUUGGCGUCUUUCUCAGAAUCCUGGGAUGUCACCUCCCUUCUCCCUCUUGUAUUCAGAUUUCUCCUUUAUCUCUGUUGCUCUCACUUUGGUAGUAUAAUCCCAUUUCGUCUUAGAUUUAGAUGUGGAAAACCUUCUGCCUAUUGCUUUUCCAAAUAAAAGAUGGCUGGACAAGAGGUCUAGGAGAACCUGGGAGCAUCUAAGUUGUCAUGUUUAUAAAAUCAAAUGUUCGGUGCUGUUUGAAGAGUCCAGUCACAUCAGUUUAAUCAACAUAAAGGAAGAAAUAUUCAAUGCACAUUUACUUUUCCUUGCUGUAAGGUUUCUGUGUUGAGAGGACAUCUGGGAUGGCACCUACGUGAUCAGUAAUGCCUGUGAAGAGCUGGAAGGACUGCAGGUCACCCACCAUGCAUCUGUCGAUGGUUUCUCAGCCCCAUCAUCAGUAAAGCCGCCAUCUUGAUCUGAUUUGCUUUCUACUGAGGUUCUCAGCUGUGAGAAAUUCAAGGGUUUUUUUUUUUUUUUCACUAAUUGCUCAGGUGGUGAUGGGAAGGUAGAAAAUACUUCUUAAUAUGGAUCAAAAUGUUUCCCUCAGUAAUUGAAUAAAACCUCCUUUCCAGGGAGCAUGUUCUCUCCACAAACGUUACACCCACAACAGGAAAUACACAGGAUUGAACAAACAC